CCUGCCCUUUGAUGCCCUGCUCAGAGAAUAAGUCAACCCUGUCUUCUCUGUUAUAGCCCUCAAAUAUUGGAAGACAGCUAUCAUGUCACCACUAAACCUUCUCU